rnacentral:rRNA from 1 species
UCUCGGGGUUACAGCCUUGCUGAAUUAUUCACCCUUGUCUUUUGCGUACUUCUUGUUUCCUUGGUGGGUUCGCCCACCACUAGGACAAACAUAAACCUUUUGUAAUUGCAAUCAGCGUCAGUAACAAAUUAAUAAUUACAACUUUCAACAACGGAUCUCUUGGUUCUGGCAUCGAUGAAGAACGCAGCGAAAUGCGAUAAGUAGUGUGAAUUGCAGAAUUCAGUGAAUCAUCGAAUCUUUGAACGCACAUUGCGCCCUUUGGUAUUCCAAAGGGCAUGCCUGUUCGAGCGUCAUUUGUACCCUCAAGCUUUGCUUGGUGUUGGGCGUCUUGUCUCUAGCUUUGCUGGAGACUCGCCUUAAAGUAAUUGGCAGCCGGCCUACUGGUUUCGGAGCGCAGCACAAGUCGCACUCUCUAUCAGCAAAGGUCUAGCAUCCAUUAAGCCUUUUUUUCAACUUUUGACCUCGGAUCAGGUAGGGAUACCCGCUGAACUUAAGCAUAUC